UACGUGAGCCCCAAGCGUUAUCCGGAAUCAUUGGGCGUAAAGGGUCCGUAGGGGGCUGUAUUAGUCUCGUGUUAAAGCCAGAGGCUCAACCUCUGAUUCGCGCGGGAAACGGUACAGCUAGAGGGCGUGAGAGGCUGGUGGAACUCAUGGUGUAGGAGUGAAAUCCGUUGAUAUCAUGGGGAACACCGAAGGCGAAGGCAACCAGCUGGCGCGACCCUGACCCUGAGGGACGAAAGCGUGGGUAGCGAACGGG
rnacentral:misc_RNA from 1 species